AAUAGAUACCCGGGUAGUCCACGCCGUAAACGUUGGGCGCUAGAUGUGGGGGCCAUUCCACGGUUUCCGCGUCGUAGCUAACGCAUUAAGCGCCCCGCCUGGGGAGUACGGCCGCAAGGCUAAAACUCAAAGGAAUUGACGGGGGCCCGCACAAGCGGCGGAGCAUGCGGAUUAAUUCGAUGCAACGCGAAGAACCUUACCAAGGCUUGACAUAUACGAGAACACUGCAGAAAUGUAGGACUCUUUGGACACUCGUAUACAGGUGGUGCAUGGUUGUCGUCAGCUCGUGUCGUGAGAUGUUGGGUUAAGUCCCGCAACGAGCGCAACCCUCGUCGCAUGUUGCCAGCACGUAAAGGUGGGAACUCAUGUGAGACUGCCGGGGUCAACUCGGAGGAAGGUGGGGAUGACGUCAAAUCAUCAUGCCCCUUAUGUCUUGGGCUUCACGCAUGCUACAAUGGCCGGUACAAAGGGCUGCAAUACCGUAAGGUGGAGCGAAUCCCAAAAAGCCGGUCUCAGUUCGGA
rnacentral:rRNA from 1 species